GAUUAUUGGGUCUUCAAAGGGCAUCUUAUGACCCAAAAGUUACAAGUCAGAGUGGCUUUCAUGUGAAAAGAUUAUUGAGAGUUUGAAACAGUGUCGAGUCUUGUGGGUGUGUGUAAGGAGUGCAACUGCACAAAACCUUCAAUUUUAAAAGGUCUCAACUUUGAUAGAUGUGUUUAAUAUAAAUGAUACAGUAAAUCUUAUAUAAACAGAUUACAAAAAUAGUUGUAUGUUUUAGAUUGACGUUUUGGAUAUUAAGAGCACGUGAGUUUG
rnacentral:lncRNA from 1 species